rnacentral:rRNA from 1 species
GACGAACGCUGGCGGCGUGCUUAACACAUGCAAGUCGAACGAAGAGCGAUGGGAGCUUGCUUCUAUCAAUCUUAGUGGCGAACGGGUGAGUAACGCGUAAUCAACCUGCCCUUCAGAGGGGGACAACAGUUGGAAACGACUGCUAAUACCGCAUACGAUCUAAACUCGGCAUCGAGGAUAGAUGAAAGGUGGCCUCUACAUGUAAGCUAUCACUGAAGGAGGGGAUUGCGUCUGAUUAGCUAGUUGGAGGGGUAACGGCCCACCAAGGCGAUGAUCAGUAGCCGGUCGGAGAGGAUGAACGGCCACAUUGGGACUGAGACACGGCCCAGACGCCUACGGGAGGCAGCAGUGGGGAAUCUUCCGCAAUGGACGAAAGUCUGACGGAGCAACGCCGCGUGAGUGAUGACGGCCUUCGGGUUGUAAAGCUCUGUUAAUCGGGACGAAAGGCCUUCUUGCGAAUAGUGAGAAGGAUUGACGGUACCGGAAUAGAAAGCCACGGCUAACUACGUG